rnacentral:lncRNA from 1 species
CACAUAGAAAACACAGAAAACAUCCCAAAUACCCACGUCCCGUGACUCAUCUCCAGAACUCACACAUGACCAACACGACUGAGGUUCCCCGUGAAGCCCCCCACCCCCACCUCGCUCCCGCCGCAGGGACCCGCUGUUCUGAACUUGGCGAUCCUCCCUGGGCACAGCUCUUAAUGACACGUAUGCGUUCGUAAGCCCCACUUACAUCUGUGUGUUCCUGCCGUCUGUGUGCCGGCGACAUCGCCUUCCACCUUCCUUCCGCUCGCGCUCACCUCCCGUCGCCGAGACUCGUGCCCGGGGCUGCGGCUCCGGCCUAUCUGUCCCGCGCGGUGCGCGGCGUGCCUGCCUGUCCCCGCUCUCCUGCCGUCGUCACUGGGGUCGGCGCCACGGAUUCCACCGCUGGGGGUUCGGGACGGUCAGGAUUCGGUUUCCGGGAGCGACUCCAGGGCCACCAGAGGCCACCGCGUCUCCCACGGACGGGUCUCUGCAGACACCCGUCCCACCUUUGCGGACUGGCCGUCGCUGUUGGUAAGGACGACACAGACCCGGGACCCGAUCCGCGGCGAGAAGAAGCAGUGGCUGAGGGCUGGCGUGGAAGAUGCCGGGCGCGUGGCCUGCGGCGUCCCGACGCCAGGGGGCGUGCGCUGCGGCCCCACGACGCCUGACGUGCGCUGCGGCCCCACGACGCCGGGGGGCGUGCCCUGCGGGUCCACGACGCCGGGGGGCGUGCCCUGCGGCCCCAGGAAGCCGGGACGUACGCUGCGGCACCAUGAUGGUGAGAGGAGCAGCACCCCCCAAUAGGUGCCCGGAAAUUGGAUCUGUGGGGACGCCGACCUCGUGCAGGGGCCGCCCUGUGGGCCACCCGCAUAGUCAGAAGGAAGACACGUGCCGAGCCGUGCUUGUCGAAAAUGAUAGGCACCGAGUCUGCAGUUCGGGUCCCUGAGGGACUAAACCUCGUUAGCAGCCUGGCCGGGAGAACGUUUCAACUGUGUUUGCCUCGGGUCCUGUGGCGGAGCGCUCAGAGGACAUCCGUGACACCGGUACCGACCAAACCCACGGCCCACUGGUGGCUAAAAGAUGCUAUUUGUGGACACGAGCAAUCUCCAGGCUCCAAAGAGUGGCAGAGUGGGGUCUGGCUGGAGGAGGUGCUUGCCUGCGGGACCACUCCCGCCCUCCUGCCCCCUCGGGGCGCGGUGCCCACGCAGGUAGGCCCCCAGGCGGGCUCCCUGGGCUUCUGGGCCUCUGCUGGGUCCACGGCUGGGGGCCUCGGGGGGAGGCGGGAGGGAGGGGAGGGACGUCGGCCCGUGUGCUUUCCUGUCCCCUGCCUGAGUCGUUGGCCGAUCGGCCCGUGCCCCCGUCCUGACCCCUGCCCACCUCCCUGCUCCUUGCCCUGGACUCUGGGCGGCUCUGGCCGUGUCUGCUGGGCCAGGUGCCGCGCUGCCCCGGAGAUCUCCCCGCCCCGCCAGGCUCUCCAAGGCGGCUGCCCCAGCAUCCCCCUCACCUCC